rnacentral:misc_RNA from 1 species
GAUGAAGAACGUAGCGAAAUGCGAUACGUAAUGUGAAUUGCAAAUUCAGUGAAUCAUCGAGUCGUUGAACGCACAUUGCGCCCCCUGGUAUUCCGGGGGGCAUGCCUGUCCGAGCGUCAUUGCUGCCCUCAAGCAGGGCUUGUGUGUUGGGCCCCGUCCUCCGAUCCCGGGGGACGGGCCCGAAAGGCAGCGGCGGCACCGCGUCCGGUCCUCGAGCGUAUGGGGCUUUGUCACCCGUUCUGUAGGCCCGGCCGGCGCUUGCCGAUCAACCCAAAUUUUUUAUCCAGGUUGACCUCGGAUCAGGUAGGGAUACCCGCUGAACUUAAGCAUAUCAAUAAGCGGAGGA